rnacentral:rRNA from 1 species
UAAGUGAAGAGUUUGAUCCUGGCUCAGAGUGAACGCUGGCGGCAGGCCUAACACAUGCAAGUCGAGCGGCAGCGGGAGGAAGCUUGCUUCCUUGCCGGCGAGCGGCGGACGGGUGAGUAAUGCAUCGGAAUCUGCCCUGACGUGGGGGAUAACGUAGGGAAACUUACGCUAAUACCGCAUACGUCCUAUGGGAGAAAGCGGGGGAUCGCAAGACCUCGCGCGGCAGGAUGAGCCGAUGUUCGAUUAGCUAGUUGGAGGGGUAAAGGCCCACCAAGGCGACGAUCGAUAGCCGGUCUGAGAGGAUGAUCGGCCACACUGGGACUGAGACACGGCCCAGACUCCUACGGGAGGCAGCAGUGGGGAAUAUUGGACAAUGGGGGCAACCCUGAUCCAGCCAUGCCGCGUGUGUGAAGAAGGCCUUCGGGUUGUAAAGCACUUUUGUACGGGAAGAAACGCACUCGGUUAAUACCCGGGUGAACUGACGGUACCGUAAGAAUAAGCACCGGCUAACUUCGUG